rnacentral:rRNA from 1 species
GGCAGAGGGUGCAAACGUUGUUCGGAAUUACUGGGCGUAAAGCGUGUGUAGGCGGUCCACUAAGUCGGGUGUGAAAGCCCUGGGCUCAACCCAGGAAGUGCACUCGAAACUGGCGGGCUAGAGUAUCGGAGAGGUUGGUGGAAUUCCUGGUGUAGCGGUGAAAUGCGCAGAUAUCAGGAGGAACACCAAUGGCGAAGGCAGCUCGCUGGGACGUGACUGACGCUGAGACGCGAAAGCGUGGGUAGCAAACAGG